rnacentral:rRNA from 1 species
GACAGAGGUCCCGAGCGUUAGGCGGAAUCACUGGGCUUAAAACGUGUGUAGGCGGAUGGACAAGUACCUUGUGAAAUCCCACGGCUUAACCGUGGAACUGCUUGGUAUACUGUCUGUCUUGAGGCAUCUAGGGGCAACUGGAACAAACGGUGGAGCGGUGAAAUGCGCAGAUAUCAGGAGGAACAUCGGUGGCGAAGGCGGUUCUCUGGGCAUUACCUGACGCUGAGGAGCGAAAGUGUGGGGAGCGAACAGG